AGGAAGGGAGGGGGAGCAGCGCGGUGCAUGCCGGGAAAUCGCUCCCCUCGGCUUCCUCCUCCCGCACGGGCAAGGCGGCGGAGUACGCAUGCGCAGGAGGGGAGAGACCAACUUGCACUAGUUCAGAAGCUCGGGGUGCAGGGGACGAGCCGCGUGCGCCGCUGCAGCAGCACUGGCCAGUGUCCAUGACUCUUCGGUCAGAGCGAAUCAACAAAAGCACGCUCCUGUUCUGGAGGUGAAGAGACUUCACCGUGCCUGGCAGAGAAAUACUCUUCUUGAUUCCUGUGCCCCAUAGUCAAAUCAAUCACUGAGAUCAACAAAAAAGAAAUGAUAAAAUUUUUUCUUAUGGUAAACAAACAAGGUCAAACAAGGCUCUCUAGGUAUUACGAGCAUGUAGAAAUUAAUAAAAGGACAAUGCUGGAAGCUGAAAUAAUUAAAAACUGUCUCUCCCGUUCAAAGGAUCAGUGCUCUUUCAUUGAGUAUAAGGACUUUAAGCUGGUAUACCGACAGUAUGCAGCGCUUUUUGUAGUCGUUGGCAUCAACGAGACAGAGAAUGAGAUGGCAGUAUAUGAACUAAUUCAUAAUUUUGUGGAAGUUUUGGACAAAUACUUCAGUAGAGUGAGUGAAUUAGAUGUAUCCUUUUCAGUAUCAGAAAUCCAUUUGUCUAUCUCUUUUUGGUGUACAUUCCAGUUCAUGCUGUCUUCAUGGCACUGACUGUCAAACAGUGAAGACCAUGCAGAGGUUUCACAAAUUUUGCACUUACAAUCCUCUCGCCCUGUGUAGAGCAGUGCCAGAGGUGAACUAAGCAGCAGAAGAGCUGUCUUCCUAAAAAUUCUCGCAUUACUGGACUAAAGAAAUCCUAACUUCUCAGAUUAAAAUACUUGUGUAAAGACUGAUUUACUUGGAAAGUAUACCACAGGGAGAAAUUUGUCUCAUGUCUUUAACCUGCCAAGGAAAGUAAAACAACUACCUUUGUCUCUGGAACCACAGAAAUGGAGACAGCUGAAGUUUUAAGGACAGUAGUGCUCCUCAGGAUUGAGAGGCAUGAGUCUGAUUUUUAGAAGCAAUUCAGGCCUACGCUCAGACUUAGGAAGAAGUCUGGUAUUUAAAAUACAACUUAGAUUUAAAUUAGGUGGUUAAGUUUAGGCCAGCAAAUUAGAAGCUAUGUGAUGAACCAUGGACAUACUCGAGAUCCUGUUGACAGCUAUAGUUUCUCUUCCUCACAUAACAGUAACGAGUAGUAAAGUUAUUUGGGGGCCUGAAUUCUGCUACUACACAUACCUAGACAUGCUUUGCUCUUGGCCAAGCAGAAUGCAUUUGUUGGAGCAGCAAUGCAAUUGUUUACCCUUCUGCACAAAUACACGGUAGCACCGCGUUCAGCCCAGAGCACUUACGGCAAUUUGAAAUGGCAGGGGAAGGUGACAGCCUGCUAGCUGUAAUCUCAUCAACUUGACCAUACAGGUUCAUCCUACAGUUCAGCCUGAACAAGUUCAAGCUUCUACUUUUCAUCUCUUAGAAAGGUGGUCACACACAAGGCUGACGUGAGACGCUCCGUGCCCCUCUUCUUGCUUUAACGUAUGCAGCAGAGGCAAUCACCAAGACAGGGACAAAAACUUAAGCUUCUGUCAUCACUGGGCUAGACUGUUGUACUCAAGAACUUCUGCAGACAGCAGAACUUGAAGUAGAAGGCAGCAGGUGCAGCUGCUACUAACUCAGCUAAGCUUGCCCAUGGAAAAAGGUGGGUUUGGAAUUCCCCAGGCUGAGGACAGGCUCAGCUUCCAUCCUCUACAGUUUUCAGGCAGGCAGCAUCUCUACUGUGACAUUUUAGAAAAGACUGAGCCAGUCAUCAUUACCUGAAGUAAUGACUUGGGCUUCUGACUCUGAGAGAAAGGAUCACAGAAAAAUUCCUCUCUGCAUUCCCAAGUACUGGCUUCAGCCCUGGUUCUCUAGAACCUGUGAAUUGUUUGAUGGGUCUGGCUUUUACCACUCACUGCAGGGGAAAUAAGGCACCUAACUCAGAUUAAGGAAUUCAUUUCUCAAAGCCAGGUGCUAAAAAACUAGGCAUGGAGAUGUUCAAUGUUACUUAAAUCUGUUUCUUGAAUUCAGACUUAAGACUGUUCACUUCCAUGAGCUCGCAUUGUUGCAGCUCUGGUGGUUUAAGGUGUUGUCUCCCCACCACUCGCAUUUACCACCUAGGAGGAACAAAUAUUUACAAAUAUAUGUGGCUCCUCAGCUGUUGUCAUAUACAUAAACAGUUAGUACUCCCACUGUUCCUGCUCUUUGGCAGAGCAGUAGGGCAGACUGCUGUAGUUAGAUCCACUAGAACCCGUGGGACAGAACAGUCAUGUUCAGAAAAUGAGACUUUAGUUUUAUCAUGCCGAGCAGAGGAACACGUUGAUGCAUUCAAAAACCUGGCUCUCGCAACUCCACUGAUUAGCAUGGAAGUCCACUAACAUAAAUACAAGGACAGGAGCAAACCCACGUUGUCUUGCUGAGCUCAAACCAUAGAAUCAUAGAAUGGUUUGGGUUGGAAGGGACCUUCAAGAUCAUCUAGUUCCAACCCCCCUGCCAUAGCAUCAAAACCAGCAUAAUGGGCAGAGAAGGCACUCGAGAGUCUCAUAUCUAAGUUGAAAAAAAGUAUUGAAAGAUGUAUUUAGAAGUUACUGUAAAGUAUCUUACUAGCUCAACUGCAGGAGUCCUCAAUACACAGGCAAGAGCUGGCAAGAGCUAACAGGAGCAAAAUUAAGGCAAAGCCGAUCCGUUGAGGACAGCAAAGAACACAUUUAAAGAGCAGCAACAGGUGGAGGAGAGCAAGGCAGAUGAAGGGUUAUUCACGCCUCUGUAUGUCAGUGAAGCAUAACAGAUGUACCCAGCAGGCUUUUUUGCUAUGCCUGUUUCCAUUUCAGGUUCUAGUGAUAAAUGGCAACAUAAGAGUCUUUUUUCACUAAGUAACCGUUGGCAGUUGUUCAGUGGAUGCACAAAACACUAAGGUAUGCAGAAGAAUGCCUGCUGCUUAACACUAGAGUAAGGCCUGUCAUUUUUUUUUUUUUUUUUUUGAGACAGAUGCUGUUAGAUAAGGAA